ensembl:lncRNA
CCUCGUCUGUCGCUUUCUCUGCCUGUGUAGCCCUAAACCCCGGGGUUCAUUCACGUCCAUUAUACGGACAAAUUAAAUAAAAACCCACUAUGGGUCGGAGGGGAGCGGAGAGCCACGCUGGCCAUCGGCGGUGGCGUUGGAAAGAGUUGGGAAUGGGAGGAACGCUGUGGUGGAAAGACUGAGGAGCUGAGUGAGGGCAGAGCUGGAAGAGGCUGCAGGAUGGUGGGAAGGGUUCAGACAGGCCAAGCUGGAAAGAAGCUGGAAAAGGAGCCAAGUGAAAGAAAAGAGUGACAUUUUUCUGACUGCCACAUUUGAUCCGGUUGGGCUUUAGUUUGUCCUGUUGAUAGACAUUUUGAGUGUUGCAGGCAGACAGUAAAUAUGUGAUGCUGUGGAACCAUCUGUCACUGCUCAGACUCUCAGCAUUCUGAUGUGUUUAUCUGGAACACCAAGAACUUCUGAGGAGUAAUGGAAGCAUGGAGAUGAUAUACCUGUCAUCAUUUUUUUGUCUGUUCUUUUCUUAAUCCAACAGGGAGAAAUAGUUUUAAAACAGUGUAGAAAUGACAGACUGCCUCAUCUCUGACGGACUGAAUGAUGGAUACAAGACAAAAUGGAUAACAAGUCCUCUAUUCGUCUACCUACUGCUUUUUUAUGGAUACAUGGAUGCCUGGGAAAAAACAGGGAAGACAUUAAGAUCUCAGAUUGCUUUGGGGAAAUUCUACUUGAAAAGACGACCUCUGUGGAAUUUCACUGAUUUACAACGGACAUGAAACCUUAAAAGAAGCUGCAUCUGAUGUGUCUCAUCCAUGUCCUGAUGAGUAGACACUAACGCUGACUGCAUGACUCAGGAACUGUGGGAACUGGUCCUCCUGAACUACAACCGCUUUCAUGCAUCCAAAACCACAGAAGGUAAAGUACUUAUUCUGCACACAAGUGGUGCUGAAGUCUCUUUUUGAAGACGGACAGCACAAACCACUGUAUCCUUCCUGCUGUUGUCAGGUGGCUGGAAGACCAGAAAGGCCUUCACAGCUUGGAGGACAAACCCCUCCUUCAGUUUCAACUGAAAUCUUACUGCGUGUUUCAUUUCUGCUACAUCAAACAUAUCGGAAUAAAUCCAAGAAUGCAGUGAAGUGCCACUUUGAUUAACAACUGGUGCUAAAGAAGUCAUAUGGCUGUGAAGAUAUUGAACUGUUAGCUGCAUCUAUGCUACGUACCCGUGGAAUUUUACGUUAUUCACCGACUGAGACUCUGGACUGCACUCUUUGCUUUAUUGUAUCGUAUUUCUUGCAUAAUAUGCAUCUUCCACAACAACUUCUUGCAUAAAGGUCACAGAUGACCAACUAGUAACAACCAAAAGAUUAGCUUUCCUGUUGAAAUAUCCAACAUGAACAUCUUGUCCUCCAACUUUGUGUGUUUAACGAAGCGCCAAACAAACUUUCAGACGAGGAGUGUCCAGCUGACAUCAUGAUGCAGCACAGAUGGCUAAUAAUCUGCAAAAAUCUGGGCCCUGUAAAGCCUCAGCAGGCCCCUUUUCCUUCUUAUACAUCCACUGUUGCACUUAGUUACUAAACAAGCCCAUGUAUCUGCUGUUGUUUGGACAAGUACCAGUGAAGUGCUCUUCUUCCUCGCCGUACUGUGAGAAACUGAUGAUGCAGUCAGAAAGAAAUCUUUAAGUUUUACGUUGGUUAGUUUUACUGUGCCUACCAACACCACAUUUUCCAUUAUCCGCAUUUCCACAAAAAAUCUUUAUUCUUAUCUUUAUUCUUUCUUUUAAUAUUAAUGAAAUAUUAAUGUCUAAAAAGAUGGACUAAAGAUUUUUUUUAAUUAUAAAAGAAGGAGGAAAUGUGAUUAGUUGGAUUUCAGCCCUUUCAAUCUGCGCUUUUGUAUUUCCCUAUUAUGUGUUUCUAAUUUAUUUUUCAGAAUAACCAGCACUACUUAAAAUGUUUUAUUUGAAGUACUUGGCUGCAGGUAAACUAAUCAAGUGCAACAACAGAGAUUUACUUAUUAAUUUGAACCACUGACAUAACUAUGACUCAUUAAAGCGUUGUCUUCACCAACCAAUAACACAGAAGUAGCUCUACAGAGUUUCAUUUUCAAAUACAGAGAAGACAACAUGAAAGAUGUCCAGAAGAAUUUCUGAUGAGAUCAAUUCAACCAGAACAACUAUUCCUCCACUAUGUGUAAAGCGUUUACACGUCUUCACUUAAUCCUGUUCAAAUGUGAACACUUCCAUGUGCCUCUGAAUAAUGUUUGUUGUUGUCUUUAUCAUUUUGGAGCCUCACUUUAAAAAAAAAAACACGUAAACAACCAUCCUCAAACAUGCCAUGGUUUCUUGACACUGCAUCUCCAGUGCUUCCAUGAUUAUGUUUAUACCCACUGGUGGUCAAAACCCUGAAAUUGCUUCACUGGAUUUUGCUUAUUUGGAGCCAUUUGAGGGGCAGUAACUCAGCAUGGCAAAAACCAUCACACGGGAAUCAAGAACUGAUAAUGUGAGAGAGCAAAUGACUGUGUUCCGUGAUCACACAGAGUCAGCACAAAGGCAGCGACUCUCAACCCAUCCUAGACCGUGCUGUAAAUAAAAGCAUCCAAACGUCCCUGAGAAGCCGUCGCUCUGAACCAGAUGCUUCUCUUCAUCAGCUGUCAAUUGAGUCCUUUAGCAGAAACCUGAAGACUGAACAACAGAGUUAAUUCACUGAGCCUCAGCGUGACAAAGUCCCUCUCCCUGCUCACCAUGAAAUCAAUAGACGAAUAGAUGCUACAUUAGAAAAUGGAGCAAAGUGUCGUCACUGUCAAGAUAUUAUUUGGUCAGUGUGAGAUACUUCCAUCCAUUCUCUGAUCUGAUUGCAGCCUCUAAAGAAUUCCUCUGCAGGAUUUUUCUUGUUGCUGCUGCCUCUGUGUCCACGUGUUUCUGUGCUGGAAGCAAAAAAAAAAAAAAAAAGGCAGCGAGAGGAGGUUGUCACAGCGAGCGCAAAAACAGAGCAGACGAGCCACUUAACAGCACUAUACCCAACUGGUGCAAGGGAGCGAGAGGAAAAUCCAGCCAUGCCAGCGUGCCAAUAUAGUUUACCAGCUCGCUGAGAGGCGGGCAGCACCUGACAGAUGCCACUUGGAGCAUAAUUCCAGUGGGCUGAAAAGAUCCUCUACAUGACGGGAAGCCAGAGAAGCGGGAGGAGACCGGAAUACCCAACAACUAAACGCAGUGUUAAUGUUGUCUGUGCAUCUAUUGCAUCCAUUCCUUCCUGUUUUACUGUGUUUAGAAGCUGAGGAAACAAAAUGCAAAGAAAAAACUGAUGCUGUUAAUAAAUGGUGACUUGUUUCAGAUC